rnacentral:rRNA from 1 species
GUGUCGAUGAAGAGCGCAGCCAACUGUGUGAAUUAAUGUGAAUCGCAGACUGCUCUGAACAUCGACCUCUUGAACGCACAUUGCGGCCGUAGGCUUGCCUACGGCCACGUCUGGCCGAGGGUCGGCU